ACUCCUACGGGAGGCAGCAGUGAGGAAUAUUGGUCAAUGGACGCAAGUCUGAACCAGCCAUGUCGCGUGCAGGAAGACUGCCCCUAUGGGUUGUAAACUGCUUUUUAUACGGGAAGAAAUAUAGCUACGUGUAGUUAUUUUGCCGGUACCGUAUGAAUAAGCAUCGGCUAACUCCGUGCCAGCAGCCGCGGUAAUACGGAGGAUGCGAGCGUUAUCCGGAUUCAUUGGGUUUUAAAGGGUGCGUAGGCGGAAGUAUAAGUCAGGGUGAAGUUUGUGGCUCAACCAUAAAAUUGCCUUUGAUACUGUAUUUCUUGAGUACAUUUGAGGUAGGCGGAAUGUGUUGUGUAGCGGUG
rnacentral:rRNA from 1 species